ACAGAGAAAAUGACGUGUUUCCGGGUUGAAGAAGAGGAGUUUUACCUGACCCGGAAUAUUCUCACACCCUAGAGGACUUCUGCCUUGCCUGCGGCCACCUACCAUCAGCCUCUCGGGUUUGCUGGAGCAGAGCACAUGUCUGACAUCUCCAACUCCAAUUUAUGAACAGCCCACAGAACCCCUGUGAAAAUGACUCCUCACCUAAAUAAGCAGAUCCUGUAAUGGUGAAUCAUGAUCCUCCCACCACCUUCUCCCAUUGCACCGCCUUGAGAUCUUCCAUCCACACCUUUGGUCUUCACCCCCUCCUUCCACAUCCCUGACUAUCUGUCUCUGCUAACCACAUGAGGGGAGAGCUGGACAAAUUUUAUGUGAACAAGGCUGUGAGGGCCUGAUGGAACCAGCGUCAAGGUGAUGAAAACAGAAGGUUCCCCUGCCAUGGAAAACAUCUUGUGUGGUCCCAGUGCCAAAGAAGGGGCACGCCAGCGCCCCCUAAGACUUGAGACCACUUGCUCUCACUUAUACAUACAUCAGUGGUUCCCAUACUCAUUCCCAGAAGACCACACAGUCAACCGAAGCUCCUGACACAGGUCUUGGUACCAUGUUGAGUCAAAUUAUCGAUGGUGCUGAACACCCCGUGAUGUACCUGAGCUGAAAACUGCUUGACCAGGAGACCAGACCAAAAGAAGAAUAAAAAUCUUACUCACCGCCAUUUCGUGACACUAAAUCACUUCUGGCUUCCCUGUGAUGACUCCCCUUCCUGUUCCUUCUCCAGUAGAUGUCAUUUCCAGCCCCAUUCCAAUCACACCUAUUAUUCAGUGGAGUUACGUUAUAAAUAUACAGUGUAAAGGACGGCACACAUGGGCUGACAUCCCUUCCAAAA